rnacentral:rRNA from 1 species
UACGUAGGGUGCAAGCGUUAAUCGGAAUUACUGGGCGUAAAGCGUGCGCAGGCGGUUUUGUAAGUCUGUCGUGAAAUCCCCGGGCUCAAUCUGGGAAUUGCGAUGGAGACUGCAAGGCUAGAAUCUGGCAGAGGGGGGUAGAAUUCCACGUGUAGCAGUGAAAUGCGUAGAGAUGUGGAGGAACACCGAUGGCGAAGGCAGCCCCCUGGGUCAAGAUUGACGCUCCAUGCACGAAAGGCGUGGGGAGCAAACAGG